rnacentral:rRNA from 1 species
GACGAACGCUGGCGGCGUGCUUAACACAUGCAAGUCGAACGGAAAGGCCCUGCUUUUGUGGGGUGCUCGAGGGGCGAACGGGUGAGUAACACGGGAGUAACCUGCCCUUGACUUUGGGAUAACUUCAGGAAACUGGGGCGAAUACCGGAUAUGAGCUCCUGCUGCAUGGGGGGGGUUGGAUAGUUUCGGCGGUUGGGGAUGGACUCGCGGCUUAUCAGCUUGUUGGUGGGGUAGUGGCUUACCCAGGCUUUGACGGGUAGCCGGCCUGAGAGGGUGACCGGCCACCUUGGGCCUGAGGUACGGCGCCGACUCCUACGUGACGCAGCAGUGGGGAGUAUUGCACAAUGGGCCGACGCCUGAUGCAGCAACCCCGCGUGCGUGAUGUCGGCCUUCGGGUUGUGAACCGCUUUCGCCUGUGACGAAGCGUGAGUGACGGUACUGGGUAAAGAAGCACCGGCUAACUACGUG